AGAGUUUGAUCCUGGCUCAGGAUGAACGCUAGCUACAGGCUUAACACAUGCAAGUCGAGGGGAAACGGCAUUGAGUGCUUGCACUCUUUGGACGUCGACCGGCGCACGGGUGAGUAACGCGUAUCCAACCUUCCCAUUACUGUGGGAUAACCUGCCGAAAGGCAGACUAAUACCGCAUAGUCUUCGAUGACGGCAUCAGAUUUGAAGUAAAGAUUUAUCGGUAAUGGAUGGGGAUGCGUCUGAUUAGCUUGUUGGCGGGGUAACGGCCCACCAAGGCAACGAUCAGUAGGGGUUCUGAGAGGAAGGUCCCCCACAUUGGAACUGAGACACGGUCCAAACUCCUACGGGAGGCAGCAGUGAGGAAUAUUGGUCAAUGGACGGAAGUCUGAACCAGCCAAGUAGCGUGCAGGAUGACGGCCCUAUGGGUUGUAAACUGCUUUUGUAUGGGGAUAAAGUCAAUCACGUGUGAUUGUUUGCAGGUACCAUACGAAUAAGGACCGGCUAAUUCCGUGCCAGCAGCCGCGGUAAUACGGAAGGUCCAGGCGUUAUCCGGAUUUAUUGGGUUUAAAGGGAGCGUAGGCUGGAGAUUAAGUGUGUUGUGAAAUGUAGACGCUCAACGUCUGACUUGCAGCGCAUACUGGUUUCCUUGAGUACGCACAACGUUGGCGGAAUUCGUCGUGUAGCGGUGAAAUGCUUAGAUAUGACGAAGAACUCCGAUUGCGAAGGCAGCUGACGGGAGCGCAACUGACGCUUAAGCUCGAAGGUGCGGGUAUCAAACAGGAUUAGAUACCCUGGUAGUCCGCACAGUAAACGAUGGAUGCCCGCUGUUGGUACCUGGUAUCAGCGGCUAAGCGAAAGCAUUAAGCAUCCCACCUGGGGAGUACGCCGGCAACGGUGAAACUCAAAGGAAUUGACGGGGGCCCG
rnacentral:rRNA from 1 species